rfam:TPA: Bos taurus chromosome 19, whole genome shotgun sequence.
UCCUUGGUAGUCUGGUGGCUAAGACUCUGUGCUCCCAACGCCGGAGGCCCAGGUUUGAUUCCUGGUCAGGGAA